AGUUCUUCUUAAACUCCGAUAGAGAUACAUUGCAAAAAGUACGCAGAUUUAGAGAUCAAUUAAAAAUGGCAUUCAACAUCCACAAAACUUUACAUUAAAUACUUAUCAUUGCACUUUUUGUUUUGGUGUAUACUUGCAAUGGCUGCCAGACUGGUCAGGAGGCAGUCGCACGAUAUUUCUCAAGAAACUAUACUUUACCCAGUGUACCAAGAAAAUUAAAAUUGUAUACGAUGCACUUGCCAUGGUCUAAUGAAACAGAUAACGAUGCGUUCCUUUACGGAGGCUGCAACCGCUUGGAUCCAGAAUUAUAUUAUUACACUAAAAUAUGUAUACCAACGAAAUAUACAUCAGUUAGCGAAUAGAAAGCAAUAGUAUGAAAUAGAAAUGUAAAAAGUAUGUUAUGAUAAGUAGAUAGAAAAGUUAUACAUUUUUGUAAAAUAAACUUUGGUUUUUGAUCGUUUACGUGAAUAUUUUAUUAUUUAUCAUCAUUUGCAAAGAAUUAUCACUUUUGAUUCGGCUCAAGUUACCAGUCAGCACUACUAUCUACAUUGGUGUUCGUUUCAAGAUUAUACUGAAACAUAUUUUUUUAGGUACUUUGCCAUUUUACUCAUAUAUUCUAUGUUUGUAUAUUAUAUAAUUUUGUUAAAAGUCUAUUGUUUUUCAUUUUACAGUUUUAGUAUGUACAGUUCUAGUUUUCGAGUAUAGGUACUCAGAACUCGAAGGGAAAAAGGAGGGAGAGCAAAAAAUUCUACACCGAUCGUUUGUUUCUGUCGGCCUGUAAACUUUAUUUAAACAAAUAGUUGUGCGUGAUCAAGUGCAUUUAAUUGUAUCCCACGUCUGGUGGUUACUCGUCGAAGUUCACCUCCUCGUGUUCAUCCGUAGUUCAUUCUUUAUCGGCAUGCUCAGCUUUACUGCCAGAACCACUCUGGUGGCUCAGGAUCGACGUGUCCGGGUGGGCAGUCGUGAUCAGGACAGUGGAUCUUGGUGUCGGUAUUCGCAGCGCCCGGCUCGCGUCUCACGCACGCGCACAGCGUGCAGCCCGUGAAGUACGCUCUACCGAAAUGGCAUUUUCUCUCCUCUGCAAUUUUUAGUUUGUUCAGUUCAAGUUUAUCGAUUUUCCAUCUGAUACGAUUCGUCUAAUGAGCGAAUUUGAAAAAUGUACAUGUCUUUAUUUAAAUCUGCGUUUGAAAUACAUUUAAAUUGCGAUAUUUGGCUUGUAUGCUGUUGCGUGGAAACUACAAAACAAGAUUCUGAAAUCGUACGUCAAAUUAAAUAUUUAAAUUAUCGCUUAAUAUCACGCACAUUUUUAGAAAUUCAGUUUUGUUUUGUACUGAAUUUAAAUAAGAAUAUACAAGAAGGUAUUUUCAAACCUGCUUCUAUCACAAGAGCGGUAGACAACAGUAUCGCCAGCAGAAACAAACUGGAAUACUUGCAGUUCAUACUUAAUCUAUUCACUGUAAGUUGGUAAGUGUAAAUUCCUCGCGAGCCAGUGUAAUAUCGUCUUGAUCAAAGCGAGUCCAGGUGCCGACUGACUUGUGAUUGCAGGUCACAUCAGUUUUAUAUGACGUGCAAUUAUUUCGACUUGCUUCAGGUCCGAUAUUUGCUUUUCAUUCCGUAAAGUCACCAUUACUAAAAACUGGCAUUUUCGCACCGGCAUCAUGUGUCGCCUUGAGUUAAUUCGAGUGUGUUACGCUUGUGUCGCUGAAGAAGACGGAAUUCUUGUUUAUUAAGAGCGCCGAAGGGCGAUAGUCAUUGCCGUCGACUCACGAGCCACGAGGUAAUCUCACGGAUCCCGAAUUUUCCUCUUGCAUUUGUUUUGAAGGUGCGAUUAGAAGUGAACGAGAAUCGUGAGAUGAUUUUUCAAGACUUUGAUGCAUUUUUCGUUAUCUUCGUCUUAUGGAGCAUCAACGAUUGAUCGUGUCAACAAAAUGUAUCUUAAGGAUUUUUCCUGAUAAGGACCACUAUGGGUCAUCGUAAGAAUUCACUUGUGAAACAUAAAAUAAAUUAAAAAUAACAGUGAAACAGUUUCUAAUAAAAUUCAAAAUAAAAAUCAA